UGUAACAAAGUCCUCAUUUUGCCCUCCCUGGUUAUUUGUCCAGCCUGUCACAAUUGAUUCCAUAAGACUCUCCUGUCUGAUCCAUCUCUUAUCAAACCCGAACUGUCCCCUUUUUUUCCUUGAAAAAUUAUCCUCCAAAAUAGCGACCACAUGACGAUGAUCAGAGCCCACUAAACUCAAAUAUUCUGUGUAGGAACAUGGGAAAAGCGUAUGCGAUUCCUCAUUUGCCAAGGCCCGAUCCAAUCGACAUCUGACCGUCACUGCACUUUUUCCUUUGCCUCUCCUUCCUUGCCAUGAAAAUUUAUUACCUCGAGCCAGAAUUUCUAGUAGUCCACUAUUCUGUAUCAUAUUGUUAAAAGGGAUGAACGAAGUUGCACAUCUUAGGGAUCCCCCAUCCUUCUCAUGAUUCCAGUGAUCUCAUUUAGAUCUCCAAUAAUAAACCAAGGUUCAGAUCAUGAUAAUCCGUACAGAGUUAGUCUCUCCCAUACCUGUUCUCUUAACUUUUGUACCGGUUCCCCAUAGACAAAAGUAAGAAAAACUUGUUUUUCUUUGACCACCGUUUCGAUGUCUAUCAUUCUGUUGCUAGAAUAUAAAAUUUUAACUUGAUACUCAUUGUUAUAAAAGAGGGCUAAUCCACCGCUUCUCCCAGU
rnacentral:lncRNA from 1 species